UACGAAGGGGGCUAGCGUUGCUCGGAAUUACUGGGCGUAAAGCGCACGUAGGCGGCUUUCUAAGUCGGGGGUGAAAUCCUGGAGCUCAACCCCAGAACUGCCUUCGAUACUGGAGCUUGAGUCCGGGAGAGGUGAGUGGAACUGCGAGUGUAGAGGUGAAAGUUCAUAGAUAUUCGCAAGAACACCAGUGGCGAAGGCGGCUCACUGGCCCGGUACUGACGCUGAGGUGCGAAAGCGUGGGGAGCAAACAGG
rnacentral:rRNA from 1 species